rnacentral:rRNA from 1 species
UGGGGAAUUUUGGACAAUGGACGCAAGUCUGAUCCAGCCAUGCCGCGUGCGGGAAGAAGGCCUUCGGGUUGUAAACCGCUUCUGUCGGGGAAGAAACGAGUUUCUCUAAUACAGAGACUUAAUGACGGUACCUGAAGAAUAAGCACCGGCUAACUACGUGCCAGCAGCCGCGGUAAUACGUAGGGUGCAAGCGUUAAUCGGAAUUACUGGGCGUAAAGCGUGCGCAGGCGGUUAUGCAAGACAGAUGUGAAAUCCCCGGGCUCAACCUGGGACCUGCAUUUGUGACUGUAUAGCUAGAGUACGGUAGAGGGGGAUGGAAUUCCGCGUGUAGCAGUGAAAUGCGUAGAUAUGCGGAGGAACACCGAUGGCGAAGGCAAUCCCCUGGACCUGUACUGACGCUCAUGCACGAAAGCGUGGGGAGCAAACA